rnacentral:rRNA from 1 species
AUUGAACGCUGGCGGCAUGCCUUACACAUGCAAGUCGAACGGUAACAGGUCUUCGGCUGCUGUCGAGUGGCGAACGGGUGCGUAAUACAUCGGAACGUGCCCGAUCGUGGGGGAUAACGCAGCGAAAGCUGUGCUAAUACCGCAUACGAUCUACGGAUGAAAGCGGGGGAUCGCAAGACCUCGCGCGGACGGAGCGGCCGAUGGCAGAUUAGGUAGUUGGUGGGAUAAAAGCUUACCAAGCCGACGAUCUGUAGCUGGUCUGAGAGGACGACCAGCCACACUGGGACUGAGACACGGCCCAGACUCCUACGGGAGGCAGCAGUGGGGAAUUUUGGACAAUGGGCGCAAGCCUGAUCCAGCCAUGCCGCGUGCAGGAUGAAGGCCUUCGGGUUGUAAACUGCUUUUGUAAGGAACGAAAAAGCUCUCUCUAAUACAGGGGGUGAAUGACGGUACCGUAAGAAUAAGCACCGGCUAACUACGUG